rnacentral:rRNA from 1 species
GACGAACGCUGGCGGCGUGCUUAACACAUGCAAGUCGAACGGUGAAGCGCCUACCUUUUUGGUGGGUGUGGAUGAGUGGCGAACGGGUGAGUAACACGUGAGUAACCUGCCCCCUUCUUCUGGAUAACCGCAAGACAGUGUGGAUAAUACGGGAUAUUCUGGGUCUGUCGCAUGAUGGGUCUGGGACAGUUAUUGUUUCGGUGGGGGAUGGGUCGGCGGCGCAUCAGCUUGUUGGUGGGGUGAUGGCUUACCAAGGCGGCGAUGAGUAGCCGGCCUGAGAGGAUGGUCGACCACAACAGUGCGGCGGAACGGCCGCGCCUACUCCGACAGGCGGCAGUAGGGGGUAUUACGGCACAGUCGGAGGCAUGACGAUGCAACGACGCGGCAGGAAGGAUGGAGUUCGGCUCGUUGUGAACCGCUAUCAGGAGUGAAGCAGGGUGUCCGUAUUUGUGGGUGGGUUGACGGUAGCUGGACAAGAAGCGCCGGCUAACUACGUG